GGGGAAUUUUGGACAAUGGGGGCAACCCUGAUCCAGCCAUGCCGCGUGAGUGAAGAAGGCCUUCGGGUUGUAAAGCUCUUUCGGCGGGGAAGAAAACGCAUGGGUUAAUACCCUGUGUGGAUGACGGUACCCGAAUAAGAAGCACCGGCUAACUACGUGCCAGCAGCCGCGGUAAUACGUAGGGUGCGAGCGUUAAUCGGAAUUACUGGGCGUAAAGCGUGCGCAGGCGGUGAUGUAAGACAGACGUGAAAUCCCCGGGCUCAACCUGGGAACUGCGUUUGUGACUGCAUUACUCGAGUACGGCAGAGGGGGGUGGAAUUCCACGUGUAGCAGUGAAAUGCGUAGAGAUGUGGAGGAACACCGAUGGCGAAGGCAGCCCCCUGGGCCGAUACUGACGCUCAUGCACGAAAGCGUGGGGAGCAAAC
rnacentral:rRNA from 1 species